rnacentral:lncRNA from 1 species
GAUGGGCAGGUUGCGCGCGUCCGCAGCCAGGCGUCGACGCAGGCGACGUGGAAGGCGUGGGCGCAGCGCGGGAGCACGCGCAGCGCGUCGCCCUCGGCGAACUCGGCCAGGCAGAUGGCGCACUCGGAGGCGGAGGCGGAGGCGGAGCACGGCGGCGCGGCGAAGGGGACGGUGGGCAGCGCGUCGAUGGCCUUCUUCUUGAGCCCCUUGGGGGGCGCCGGAGCCUGCUGCUCAUUAUCGUCGCUGGAGGCGUGGCGUCCGCGGCGGAGUCGGCAGGCGCAGCGGGAGAUGAGGGCGAGGCCGAGGACGCAGACGAGCGCGCAGAGGAAGGAGGCCAGGAUGACCACCAUGUCCGAGUCCACCGACACCACCGGCUGCUGAUCGGGCGGCGGCUGCUCGGUGGCGGCCGCGUGGAGGAGCCUCGCCAUGCUGCUGCUGCUGCUAGAGGAUGAUAGAUGACUGUUUGAGAUAGAUAGAUGCCUUGGACCUGGGAGCUGCGAUGCUCUUGGUCUCUGCCUGACUCGUGCUUGCGAAUGGCAGCAAGCGGCUGACUCUUUAUAGAUGACUCGGCACUCGUGGGCCCACCCAGGAGUAGUGAGUGAAAGCCAACGAACGGAUCGGUGCCAUCUUGAGCUACUCGUGGCGCCACAGGGCAGGGAGCUAGAGCUUGCCUGCCACUCAUCAGUCAUCACACCCACUUUGUUUCUUUUUCUUUACAAUAUAAUAUAUAACUAGUACAGUAGCAGUAGUAUUGUACUAGUACUUUUACAGGUAAGGAUAUUUUCCCUUUGUCUGAUGCUACGUGGAAAGGGUACCUUAUUUUAGCUGUUACUUACUAGUGGUAAGUAGUAGCGUAGAAAUUAAAGUGCAUGGCCACUGCUGAGGUUUGGCGCCAAAUGAAACUUAAUUAUAUAUCUUGCAUUAUUCCAUCAAAUAAAGAUGGCUUGUGAAUGAAUAAUAACAAUAACAUAAGCGUUCGUACGGUGAUCAACUAACAAAACGUCGACGCGUGCUGAAAAAAAAUAUAUCAUCAUUUAUCUUUACUCCCUCAUAGUCGUUUUGAUUUUUCCAGGUUCAUAACUUUUACUGUACAUCUAGUAGAUGCAUAAUAAAUAUAGAAAAAAUAAAACUACUAAUAAUUUGGAACGGAGGGAUUUGGAAAGGAGGGAGGGAUUAGGAAUGUGCACUUGUAAAGCUUUGUUGCCUGAACGCUGCCGCAUAGUAUCUAUCAAUCGUGAUGCAGUGCAGUGCAGGAGACCAGCUACCGUGCCUGCCUCCCUGCCUGCUGAUUAUAGUUAGUGGUAGGCUAGCUGAAUAGUAUUAUUCCACGUUGCAUGCUCUAGGGUGCGUUUAGAUUGCAAAAAAUUUGCAAUAGUGACACUGUAGCACUUUCGUUUGUAUUUGACAAAUUUUAUCUAAUUAUGGACUAAUUAGGCUCAAAAGAUUCGUCUCGUGAUGUACAAUUAAACUGUGCAAUUAGUUAUUUUUUUUACAUAUAUUUACUGCUCCAUGCAUGUGUUUCCAAAAUUGAUGUGAUGGAGAGAGAGUGUAAAGUUUAUAACAUUUGGAUGCAUCUAAACAGGCCCCUAGUGUGUGUCACCUCACGCUCGCAUUCGCAUUGCUUUCUUCGUCUCUGUCGAUCAGCUAAGGUACUAAAAGUGGCCGCUCACACUGACGGGCUGGCUGACAGACUGACCGGUCGCGGAGAAUUUUUUUUUUUCCCGCAUGAAACCUCUAUAAAACUUGCACUUGUUUAGCUUUCUGAACGGCUAAAAAGUUAGCUGGCGUGGAAGCAUCAGCAGCGGCAGCUGCUUCCACUGAAUCCUCGCUCCCCAAUCCGGCCGGCGGCGUGCUAGGACGAUCUGAGCUGCCGCCGCCGUCUGGUUUUGACUACUCCCUCCUACCUGCAACAAGACUCACCCACUGACUGACUGAGUGUACAUGUAGUACUAGCUGGUGCUCAUCGCUCUGAUCUGAUCCAUCAAACCGCCGUCUGAAUCUUGCAUGCUUUGGUACGGCCGGCCGGUUUCAGCAGAUUGCAUCGCAUGCGCUCGCUGCCAAAUUGGAGUAUCUAUCUAUGAUAGAUCCAUCUGCUGCUACCUGCUUUACGAGCGAUGCAUGCCGAUCCUACUAAUAAAGGAAUGAAUGGAUCGAUCAUUCAGGAUCCAUCACGGAUUGGAUUGAUAGAUAUUUCAUGACACAUCUAUCAUCAUCAGAGCUAUACUACUAUGCCUUUUAGGCCGGGCGGAUCAUGUGAUCCGUCUAACCAAGGCCACAUCCAUCCCAAACAAGGGAAAAGUAAGGGUGAUGAUGCAAGUUGCAACAAGCCAACUGCAACCGCCGCAAGGCCAUCGAUCGAUAUAGUUGUUGAGUGCUCCAUCGACCCCGGCGGCCGCCACAGCAGAGCAGAGGCAUGGAUGGACCUUUAAAUUUUGCAGAUAUGUAUAGUAUAGCAUAGUAGAUGCCCUUAUCCUCGACAAGACCUUUUUUUCUCCCCCACAAAAGUUGCAACAAUAGGCUAGGGGACCAAAACCAAAAGGCCGGGUCCGCUCCUAGACAGCAACAUGCAUCUGUCUACUCCAUCCAGUCGUCCCACGGUUUCCUCCAUCUUAUGCGAAACAGGGUCGCGACUCCUGUCCUGGUUUUCUUUCAUUGGCCCGCAUAGCUAGCUAGCUAGGAUCUCUUGUCAAGAGUUCACACACACACACAAAAAGAAAAAGAAGAAGCAUGCAUUUAUUUGGUAUUAAUAUAUAUUAUUAUAUUUUUUUUGAUAAACUUGAUUAGAGGUAGCGAUGAUUGACUUAAGAUAAAGCUAGAGUGGUAUUUGUUUAAUAAAUUAUACUAUAUGGUCCGAAGGAAAACACUAUUUAUUCAGAAACCUGCGUAACAAUCAAGUUUAUCUGAAGAGUAAAAUGUACGCUGAUCCUUAAACUUGGUCCGUGGUGUCAUCUAGAUCCCUAAAUUUUCAAAAUAUACAUUCAGAUCCACAAACUUACUUACUAAUUGUGUCAUGUAAAGUCCAAAUUACCAUUUUAAGUUAUAAAGUGGAAAUAUUUAUGCUGAUGUGGAGCUUACAUGUGUGUUCAAAUUUUAUUUUUAAAUUUUUUGCUCAACUCUUUUAUUUUUUUCCAAAUAUUUCCUCCAAAAUUUAUUAUUUUUAUUUUAUGUUGUUUUACAAAUUUUGUCAUAUGAGCUUAUUUUCCUACAAAUUUUUUAUAUAUAUCUUUUGUAUUUGAAUAUAUUUUUAAAGUAAAUUUGUUAUGAUUUUUUGCAUGUUUAUAGUUUUGCAUUUAAAUAAAAUAUAUAACCUUUGAUUUAGCUUAACCAAUUGUGAUUUGGAUCUCACGUGAUAUGAUUAGCGAGUAUAAGGAUCUGAAUGUGCAUUUUAAAAAUUUGAAUGACACGUCGAGCUAAGUUUAGCUAAAUUUAAGAUCCGACGGUGUAUUUUACUCUUAUCUUAAACAUGGUCCUGGUUAGGCCUCCCUAGUGCUCGAGGGUAAAUUAAAGGCUAUCUAAUUGGCAGGUCCACUUUCCUUUUUCUGCUCUAUAUAUACUAGGGAAAUAAAAGAGAAGGUACUAUACUAGUAGCGUUGAACGAUGGAGUAUUCCAGGAGUUGAGGGACUUUGUUUGAGCAGCAGCCAGCCAGCCAAACCGUACUAGUUGUUGAGAAGGCAGAGUGGAAUAUUCCAGGAGUUGAGGCAUGCAAAGCCUAUCCAGGAGUGGAUGUUGCUAUCUUGUUUUGAGUGCACUCAAAACAACACAGCCAAUUUUUUUUUGAGUUGAAAGAAUUGGGCCGACCUUUGCUUCGCUUGGCAGUGGACUGGGGAGCAUCACUUUUUGGGCCAUGGAUAUAUGGAACGUAGUCUAAUACCACCAAUCCUAUGCAUUUUUCAAAAGAUGAAAAGUCCAUCCACCUUCCGAUGUUUGAGAUUCGUGCGGCUUCCAUGGGCCGCACGAUCUCCUUCUUCCUCCUCUCCUCUCGCCGGGGUCCUUCCUCCGCUGAGCAUCGCCGGCGGCCUCUGCCACCGUUGAGGUGUUAGGGUUAGGAUUCGGGGUUGGGGCCCGAGAGCUCUCCGGUGUACGCGGCCAUAGAAGGAGCUUGGGGGUGGCCGGUUGGCCCGACGGUGGUGGCGGGUGUGACGGCGGUGGGGGUGGCGAGGGACCCCCGAUUGGGCUGUGCAGGGGCGGGGCGAGCGUCGGCGGUGACUUGGUGCGGGAGCGUCGGCGGCGUCGUCUCCGGCGGCGAGACGGUGGCGUCGUCUUCAGCGGCGGUGGCGGGGGUGAACGACGGAGGGGAGGAGGAGGAGGAGGGAGGGAGGGCGCGCGCCUUGGUGCGGUCGAGACGGCAGCGUCGUCUUCGGCGGCGGUGGCGAACGGCGAAGGGGGAGGAGGAGGGAGGGCGAGGCGGAGGAGGAGGAGGGAGGGCGAGGCGGAGGACGGCGUCGCGUGGGGGAGUGAAGGGCGGGAGGAAGAAGAUGAGGUCCUAGGUUUUAGUGGGCUUUAAACAUGAAUGUCUUAUCCAUCCAUCUUCCGGAUGGUGCGGUCUAAUUUGCGUCGGGGCCAAUUUGUUUUAUAGACGGCGGCCCAGUUCCUUGGUUGGCGACUAGAGUCGAUGGAUAUGAACACUUUCCCCUUCCCUGUGCAGCGCAGUAGCCUAUCUAUCUAUGGUUGGGUUGGUGUGCGUGUAAAGCAAGGUAGAGGACGCAUGCAGUUUGGCCGGCAGCUAAAGCUUUUUUUCUUUUCUUUCCUUAGGGUCUGUUCCAUCCGCAAAAACGCAAAAAAGCUGUAAACGCAAAGAUGCUAAAAGAAUCUUACUAAUUUGAAGUAUUAAAUGAAGUCUAUUUAUAAAAUUUUUUGCAUGGAUGGGUUGUAAAUCGCGAGACGAAUCUAAUGAGCCUACUUAAUCCAUGUUUUGCAACAGUGAUGCUACAGUAACCAUCCACUAAUUAUUGCUUAAUCAUGGAUUAAUUAGCAUCAUUAGAUUCGUCUCGUGAUUUACAACCCAUCCAUGCAAAAAGUUUUGCAAAUAGACUUCAUUUAGUACUUCAAAUUAGUAAGAUUCCUUUGCUACACUGAAAUUUUGCAAAAAUGUAAAAUAAAGGCCCUUACUCAGCACAGCAGAUCGAGUGAGUGGUAUGCAUGGGUGCCUGUUCGAAACGACGAGCCUGCGCUGCGUUGGGCUGGGCCCACGUGGCUCUUGUCACGUAGCCUCGCCGCCUGGACCUGAUCACGGCCAGUCCAGUGGCACAGCCGUAAAACCCCUGCAAUCCCAGGCCCAAGAAGAUUCCUCCGCCGCAUCCGAAAGUUUGAAAACCCCCAGCAAAACCUUUGCUCCCCUCGCCCGUUCCUCUUUCCUCUCGCAAGAGCUGUGCUCCACUCGCACCGCACCACUGCCACGGCCACUGCGCCGCCAAAUCUAGGGUUCCCUUCCGCUUCCGCUUCCCCUUCCCCCAAGGCAAGCAAGCUCGCCGCCGUCCCUGCUUGCUGCUCUCUCCGCGCACCGCAUUUCAUUCCGCUUAUCUUCCUUUUUUUUUCCCUUUCGAUUUUGGUCUGUGGUGUUGCAUUGCAGAGAUCCCGCCCUUGAGGACGGCCACCUGAUCUGAACAACCACCCCCGUCGGGAUGGCGGCGCCGGGGCGAAGGGCGGACAUGUCCUCGUCCUCGCCCUCGCCGUCUCCAGCCGCCCCGCCCUCCUCCGGGAGGCGCCUCCUGCGCACGCAGACCGUCGGCAACCUCGGCGAGUCCAUCUUCGACAGCGAGGUCGUCCCCUCCUCGCUCGUCGAGAUCGCGCCCAUCCUCCGUGUCGCCAACGAGGUCGAGGCGACCAACCCGCGCGUCGCAUACCUCUGUAAGCAGUCCCCAUCCAUUCUCAUUCCAUUCCUUUAUGCUCACUUCUCUCAUCCAUCUCAUGUACGCAGGCCGCUUCUACGCCUUCGAGAAGGCGCACCGCCUCGACCCUACUUCAAGUGGUCGUGGUGUUCGACAGUUCAAGACAGCACUUCUCCAAAGGCUUGAGAGGGUACUAUAUCCUAUACUUUACUAUACUAUACUAAACACACUCUUUCUUCCUCUUUACAUCCCACACAGGCACACCACUUCCUUCUUCUAGCCUUGCUUGUACGGCAUCUAUCUCAUCACUUGCUAUCCAUGGCCGCUACUUUUCACUAGUCAAUCUUUACUCUUAGAUACAAUACAAGAUGCUCAAACUUUGCACGACUUUUACAUAAUUAUAUGUGACAGACAAGACAAUCCAUGAAAUGAAUUCUGUAGGAGAACGAUCCCACAUUGAAGGGAAGGGUGCACCAGAGCGAUGCCAGAGAGAUGCAGCGUUUCUACCGUGAAUACUACAAGAAGUACAUCCAAGCACUUCAAAACGCCGCUGACAAGGCUGAUCGGUCAGGCAUUCGAUUUACUGCUAUGCUACCUGCGGUCAUGCCGCUGACUCGUUGCCGCUCCUUCCUUGACACUCUGCCUUCUCUUUUCUAUUUUCUUCAGUGCCCUGCUCACUAAAGCAUACCAAACAGCUGCUGUCUUGUUUGAGGUCCUGAAAGCCGUUAACGUCUCACAGUCUGUUGAAGUCGAUCAAGCGGUACGCAAAUCAUUUCUAGCAAUGUGUCACACUGGACUCUUAGUUGCCCAUCAUAUGCAUUGCGAUAUAACUUUACCAUGCAUCUUUUGUGCUUGUAACUUGUGCUACACAGAUUUUGGAUACACACAACAAAGUUGAGGAGAAGAAAAAGCUCUAUGUUCCUUACAAUAUUCUUCCUCUUGAUCCUGAGAGUACCGGUCAAGCUAUUAUGCGUUACCCAGAGGUUUUCAUCCAUCUUUCUUUUCCUCAUUGGAUUGGAAAAUACUAUCAUAUAGUUGAAAUUACACCUCUAGCAAGUAAGCUAUUUAUAAAUUUCGUGUUCCUCAUGAUUAUGUAGAUUCAAGCAGCUGUUUACACUCUCCGAAAUAUUAGAGGCCUGCCAUGGCCAAAGGAUCAUGAGAAGAAGCCUGAUGAGAAGACCACCGGCAAGGACCUUCUUGACUGGCUCCAGGCAAUGUUUGGGUUUCAGGUAUUUGAGCGAUAGGGACAAUUAUUUGUAUGUGACAAUCAUUUUGCUGUGGUGUACAUUGCUUUGAAAAUAUGCUCCGUCUAACUGCAAGACUCUCUUCUCAGAAAGAUAAUGUGUCCAACCAAAGGGAACAUCUGGUACUGUUGCUUGCAAAUGUGCACAUAAGGAAAAUACCAAAAGCUGACCAACAGCCAAAGGUGAACAUUUAACCCCCUUUCCCACCCUGUUUGAAGCUCUGGGUGGAACAAAAAGACCCUUUGUUUGGGCUAUCCCCCAUUUUCAUACUAAUGAUAUGAUGAUGUUCCAUUUUCAGUUAGAUGACCAAGCUCUGGAUGCUGUAAUGAAGAAGCUAUUUAAGAAUUAUAAGAAGUGGUGCAAGUACCUUGGCCGCAAAAGCAGUUUAUGGUAGGCUCCCAGCAAUUAUGAAAUGUAUAGGAAUCGCUAGAACUGAUUUUCUUAUCGCUAUGGUUGCAUUUGUUUGCUUUUAAAUUCUUUUAAUUUGUUGACUGUCGCAACAUUUCAUCAGUAAAGUUGCUCCCGCUUGAAAGGGUUAUUGCAUCACUUACUGCUUCUCUAAAAGUAGCUAAAUGAUUGCCAGGUUGCCAACUAUCCAACAGGAAGUACAGCAGCGUAAGCUUCUUUAUAUGGGUCUCUACCUGCUGAUUUGGGGCGAGGCCGCUAAUUUGAGAUUCAUGCCAGAAUGUCUUUGUUACAUCUACCAUCAUGUAAGAUGUGUUCUUUUAUUCUGGAUUUACUUUCAUAUAUUAUUCUUCAGAUUAGAAAAUAACAACAGCAAUAAUCUAGCUGCAUAUGUUAAAACAUUUAAUGUUUUGGUGUAUUCAAUGGGGUUAUGUGCUGGUAUAAAGCUUUGUUUAUAAGUUUUAAUCCUGCUGAGGCCAUCCUGAUAAAGGCUCCUUUGCAUCUUAAUAGAUGGCUUUUGAACUUUAUGGCAUGUUGGCUGGAAAUGUGAGCCCAAUGACUGGUGAAAAUGUUAAGCCAGCAUAUGGUGGUGAAGAAGAAGCCUUCUUGAUGAAAGUUGUGACUCCAAUAUACAAAGUCAUAGAGAAGGUAUAUCAUUUGCAGAUUUAGUAAAAUGUUACCAUACAUUCAUUUUGAAAUCUGAUCAGUUUUCUUAACAGGAAGCAGAAAGGAGCAAGACUAUAAAAUCAAAACACUCACAUUGGAGAAACUAUGAUGAUCUAAAUGAGUACUUUUGGUAAGUGAUGAUUGAACUGAAUUGGUACUUUCCAGUUUUGUGCUCCAAAUUGUAAAGAAAGCCAAAUCAUUCCUAUAUUGCUUGUCAGGUCAGUAGAUUGUUUCCGGCUAGGAUGGCCUAUGAGGGCUGAUGCUGAUUUUUUCAAGACUCCCAAGGAUGCAUAUCCUAAUCGUCUGAAUGGAGUAGGUUCCUGAUCAUCUUAAUAAUUCCAUACUUCUAUCUUGCCAAUGCGUAACUUAUGAGCCUUUAUUGUCUCAUCUUAUGUACAAUAUUCAUUCCUGUAACUGCUUGACAAUACAAUUUACUGGUCAGGUGCUGCAUGCUAUUUUUUCUUUUUUUUUUCUGGUAGAUACACUCAUUUUAGCUAUAUGUUUCUUUUGAUAUGUGAUAUCACGUGAGCUAGAUGUGAUCUACUUGCUUUGCAUGCCUUUUACCUUGUAUGUUAUAUUGCUUAGCUUGCGAUAAAGAUCCAUGAAUGUUGUUAUGUCUAUACUUUCCUCCAAUCCUAUUUGUACCCACCUUUUUGGUUAUGAUCCAGGAGAACACAUCUGUGGGUAGUGUUCAUUGGAUGGGGAAGGUUAAUUUUGUGGAGAUACGUUCAUUUUGGCACAUAUUCCGUAGUUUUGACAGAAUGUGGAUCUUCUUGAUACUAUCCUUACAGGUUAGUCGCUCUUUCUUAAGCACUUUCACUCUGUUACAGUUCUUUCCAUCUCUCAGUUUGCUAACCAUUGUCAUCCCUUCAGUUCCCUGUGUUUCUGAUGGUAUUUGGUUUUAAUAUAGGCCAUGAUUAUACUUGCUUGGAAUGGUGGCACCCCAAGCGAUAUCUUUGAUGCAGAAGUGUUUAAGCAGGUUUUGAGCAUAUUUAUUUCUGCUGCAGUAUUGAAGUUGGGUCAAGGUAUUUGGUCCUUACUCCAUCAUUUCUCCCUUGUCCUGUUUGCAUAUGUUUCAAUGCAUGUCACAUGUUCUUUGCCAGGGAGCUCAGUAGUUGUUACAGAACUUUGAUAUGACAAUCUAAUUAGAAGGUUUCAUGUUUCUAGUGCUCUUUGUGAUAAAAAACAACAUGUAUGUUGUCAGGGUAUUCUUUCCAUCGAGAUACCCUGAUCCUACUUCACUGUGUUUUCGCUACCUGCUAUUUGCUUUUGCCAGCUACAUAAUCAGCCCUGGCCCGAGAGGGGGGGGGGGGGGGAGGUAACGUGUAUAUGUAUUCCGGCAACCGGAGCUACGAGUACGUAUAGAAGGCGAAACGUCCAUCAGUCUCUUAAAACGAAGAAUUCUGUUCACUUCCAUCUACGAGUACGCAGCCUCUACCGGAAAAGAGAUGAAACGAACAUCCUCCGUGAGUAGUGUCCACAUAGACACUCAUGAGUAAUUGCUUUUAAAAAAAUGCCCACAUAGACACUCAUGAGUAAUUGCUUUUAAAAAAAAUUAGCACCGUAGUGUCAUCUAAGAAAAUAUGCGAAAUCGCAGUAUGGAAAGUAAGAAGAGGAAACAAGAUGAGUUUAUUCAAUCACAUAAAUUAGCCAUUGAUAGAUUCUCAAGAGAAAUACGAGCACUUGAAAAAAAUCUAUAUGAGUUGACCUCACACCUAAAAUGCUAGUGGGAAGUAAUUUUAGGCAAUUAUACAUAAAUUGUUUGAUGUGGGUAUUUUCCAUAUACGACCAUUUGUUAGUACUUCGUCAUUAUCAUUAUUAUAACUAAGAGGGCCCCAGUUUUUAUUUCACCCCGGCACCCAAAAUCUCAGGACCGGACCUGUACUUAAUACUGGCAGCCUUAAUAGGCAUGUAACUUAGCACUCUCUUCCUCAGUUUCUUGACUGGCAAAUAAUGAAUUUGUAACAUGACACUGAAGGUUCAUAUAUUUAACUGCAUCGCUUUUUUGGAGAGUAACACUUUAUUCUUCAUUUGAAUCUAUAUUUCUUACAUUCAGGUUGAGUUUCAUAAAUUUAAAUCAACCUGUGAUGUGUUUAACAGCUAUCCUGGACAUUGUAUUUAGCUGGAAAGCAAGAAGAAGCAUGUCAUUUGCAGUGAAGCUGCGAUAUGUCUUGAAGUUAAUAUCAGCUGCUGCUUGGGUUGUGAUUUUACCUGUAACUUAUGCAUAUACCUGGGAGAAUCCUACUGGUCUGGCAAGAACAAUAAAAAGCUGGCUUGGUAAUGGUCAGAAUCAACCAUCUUUGUACAUUUUGACUGUUGUGAUAUAUUUGGCUCCAAACUUGCUUGCCUCCAUGCUAUUUCUUUUCCCAUUCCUGAGAAGGUUCCUAGAAAGUUCAAAUGUUAAGGUCAUAACGUUCAUGAUGUGGUGGUCUCAGGUAGCUUUCGUCCUCGUGUUUCUGCUGUUAUUUAGAUUGUUAAGGUUGUCAAUUUCCUUUCAUUGAGAUCCUAUGUUUAUCUGCAGCCGCGAUUAUUUGUUGGCAGAGGAAUGCAUGAAGGCGCAUUCUCCCUCUUCAAGUAUGUUAACAUAUUAGCUCAUCUUCACAUUGUCUUCUUUUAGUGUUGCAUCUUUUCCAGUUACUGAGCAUUGUUGUCCUGAUAGGUAUACCAUGUUUUGGGUUCUUCUUUUAGCAAUGAAGUUGACAGUAAGCUUCUAUAUCGAGGUAAAGAUUCAUUUCUUCCUUUUUUUAUUGUACCUUUAUCUGUAGAUGCUUCAUUUUGGUAUCCUUGAACAUGAAGUUUGUGCCAUCACAAUUAAAGAACAAAAUAAAUUAAAAUGUCUGACAGCUUGGAUCAUGAUUUUUUCGAAGUUUAUUUUAUUGCGGAUUUGACCAUUAUGGAACUGUUGAUGUGGAAAGCAGAAUGUCAUAUCAUGUUUGCUGCAAUUGUGGUUUUGGUGUUGAAGUGUGAGUUGGUGAUUGCUGACCUUUUCAUGAAAGGUCUUGCCUGAAUUUCAGAGCACGGAACUCAGAUGUAUUGCCGUAACAUUCCAACAGGAGCCAUUCCUUUAUCUUGAAUGUAUAAAACUUUAAUACGGGGCGGGUACUAAGUCAUCUACUGCUGCUGUUCGUUCAUUUCUUUGCUGUCUUGUUGUAGAUCAAGCCUCUGGUACAGCCGACCAAAGAUAUAAUGAGAGAACCAGUUAGGACAUUCCAGUGGCACGAGUUUUUUCCUCAUGGUAUUUAUCCUGAAAUUUCCUAUGUUAUAUUUUGGAUUUAUUUUUGCAUUCUUAUUUAUGUUUAAUUUGCAGGAAGUAACAACAUUGGUGUUGUUAUUGCACUUUGGGCUCCAAUAAUUCUGGUGUGUCUCGACUUCUCUCGUCCCAUUCAAAAAAGAACUCAUUUGACUAAUGUGCUUAGCCUUGUUAUUUUAAAUUAUCCAGGUAUAUUUCAUGGACACACAAAUUUGGUAUGCACUUUUCUCUACAUUGAUUGGUGGUAUCUACGGGGCUUAUCGCCGUCUUGGUGAGGUUAGUAAUAUACUUAUGUAUUUUGCUUCAUUGCUCAAUGCAUUAUAUGUGUUGGCCCUUCAGUGGUUUUUUAAAAGACUCAUUUCCCCCCUAAUGUCAUGGAGCAUUAUUUAUCAUGAGGAACUUAUGAUAGACUCCUUGGUAAACAAAAUCAGAUAAGGACGCUAGGAAUGUUGAGAUCUCGCUUUGAAUCUUUGCCUGUGGCCUUCAAUGAGCGCUUGAUUCCUUCUGAUGCAAACAAGAGCAAAGGUUUCCGGGCCGCUUUUUCCAGGAAACCUAAGGUAUUCAUUUCUAGUAUGAAAUUUGGCUUUAUGAGUAGAUUAUUAUUUAUUAGCAUAUCUCUGUUGAACAAACAAUAAUUUUUCUGAUAUACUUUGGUUUUUAGGCUUCUGGUGAUGAAAAAGAGGAAGAGAAAAGAGCUGCAAGAUUCGCUCAAAUGUGGAACCUAAUUAUUACAAGUUUCCGUGAAGAAGAUCUCAUAGAUAACAGGGAGAUGGAUUUACUACUUGUUCCAUAUUGUAAAGAUCGUGAAUUGAAUAUAUUCCAGUGGCCACCGUUCCUACUUGCUAGCAAGGUAUACACUUUUGAUCACUCUGUAUUUUCUCUACUUACUAUGUUUGUGGAUUCAGGAGUUAAUUGUUUAUUUACUGUACUGUAGAUUCCAAUAGCGUUGGAUAUGGCAGCAGACAGUGGUGGAAAAGACCGUGAUCUGACAAAGAGGAUGGGAUCAGAUCCAUACUUUUCCUUUGCUAUAAGAGAAUGUUAUGCUUCCUUUAAAAACAUCAUUAAUACUUUAGUGUUUGGACAGCGUGAGAAAAUGUAUGUUUUAUCUUAUCAGGAUUGUUAUUUGUUAAUAAAUGGUCGCGUGAUAGCUCCUUGUCUGGGCCGGAUUCAACAUAGCACCAAAUCUAAUUUAAUACAAAUUCUGCUUGAAACACUCUAUGCCUUUAGUUAAAAAAGAAUGAAGCUAUGAUGAAUUGCAAAAUCUGAAAUCCGAGUCUCUAAUUUGUCCUCAACUGUCAUGCAUGGAGCUUCUGAGCAUGUUUAACACUAAUGUCAGCCAUUCAAUAGGUGGUUCCUUGAAGCCUUCACUAACUUUAAUUCACCAUAUACAAUGGUAUUAUGGUUCCACUCACCAUGUUGUUGAUCUGGAGGUGCUGAGACUUGAAAUGAGUAGCUUUAUUUAAUCUAGGGGUUACCUUGUCCCAUAUCAGAAGGGAAAAGAGGAGGGUGGGUGGGUAGGCUGGCAUCUCUAGGGAGCCUAUUGUACUUUUACGUGUUUUGUUAUCUGCUAAACUGAAGCUCCUUUUGGCGCUUAUUUCAGUGUCAUAAAAGAGAUUUUUGAUGUCGUGGAUAAGCACAUAGCAGAGGAAACCCUGAUAAAGGAUCUGAAUAUGAGGAGCCUUCCUGCACUGAGCAAGAAGUUUAUUGACUUGCUUGAGUUACUGGUAUAAAUAAGACUUGCCGUCAUUGUUUUAGAUUGUGUUCACAAAGGAUAGCUUCACACUGCAUCUAUUUCUUUGUAUUACAGCAAAAGAACAAAGAAGAAGACUUGGGUCAAGUUGUCAUUUUGUUUCAAGAUAUGCUUGAGGUGGUCACAAGGGAUAUAAUGGAGGACGAGCAGCUCGGCGGGUGAGUUUAGUUUCUGCUGUAAUCCAUGAUACUCUUAUUCAAAUAUAAUAAUACAGUGCCAUUUUUUGUCAUGGUAUCUGGUGAUUCUCGGAAUUGGUCGUCUGAUUUUGUGGUCGCUCGUUCUUCCAGAAUGUUGGAAUCCAUACAUGGUGGAAAUAAUAGAAAACAUGAAGGAAUUACACCACUAGAUCAGCAAGAUCAGUUGUUUGCUAAAGCUAUUAGAUUCCCCAUGGAUGAAUCAGAUGCAUGGACUGAAAAGGUUUGAUUUUCAGCCCUUUAAUUUUCUUAAUGACAGAGAUUCUGGCAUGAUGACUGUGUCCUUCAUGUUAUAAUUAAAAAUAUUAUCUAUGUUUCAGAUAAAGAGGCUUCACCUUCUUCUAACUGUGAAGGAGUCUGCUAUGGAUGUCCCUACAAACCUUGAUGCUAGAAGGCGAAUAUCGUUCUUUGCAAAUUCUCUCUUUAUGGAGAUGCCAAAUGCUCCUAAAGUGCGGAAUAUGUUACCCUUCUCGUAAGUCAUUACUACUGAUUCUUUUCAGUAACUUAUGUUCUUCUCAAAACUUGUUUGUUAAAGAUUGAUCAUUAUAUUACUUUCUCGCUGUGUAGUUUUUCUGCUCAGUGUCAUAUAUGACUGCCGUGAUUGCUUCAUUACUAUCUGAUGGCUGUGGAGUUUUCCCAGUCAAUAUCAUAUAUUGUCUACCGUGAUUCUUUCAUAACUGUCUGAAAUGUUUUUUGUUUUUGGCCAUUUUUGGUUUGAACUGCAAUAUCCUUAAUUAUUUGUUUCAUCUGGGCAACCCAGAUUAUAUAUUUUCUCUUGCUUAUAUUUGUUUCUGCAUCUUUUUUUUUUUCAAAAUACACGCAAGCUGUUGCCCCAGUCACUUUUGCAAAUGUUAUAUUUCCUGCAAUUAUUUCUAUACCGCAGUGUCUUGACUCCUUAUUACAAGGAAGAUGUUCUGUUCUCCUCACAAAAUCUAGAAGAACCAAAUGAGGAUGGAGUUUCCAUCCUUUUCUACCUACAGAAGAUUUACCCAGGUUAUUUUCUUUCCUUGGAUUGAUGUUGAUGGAAAUUCAUUUGGUUUUGUUCUCUGAUGUCCUUUGAGAAACUGACACUGCAACAUUACAUUUGUUAACCUCUUUGAAGAUGAAUGGAAAAAUUUCCUUGAAAGAGUGGACCGAAAGAGUGAAGAGGAGCUCCGUGAGGAUGAAGGAUUGGAAGAGGAGCUUCGUCUUUGGGCAUCAUAUAGGGGACAGACAUUGACAAGAACUGGUAUGUUAUCUCUCUUGUGUGGCCUGGAUUUGUAUUAAAUAUGUAUUGUAUUAAUUUAUUUUUGCGGUUGCUACUGUUGUCUACACAGUAAGAGGGAUGAUGUACUACCGAAAAGCUUUGGAGCUUCAGGCUUUUCUUGAUAUGGCCCAAGAUGAUGGUAUGUCUAAUGGCUCAUUCUAUGCUAUUGUUCUGAAUGCGUACCUUUUGAGUUUUGAUGUAUGUGCUGACUUCUCUUCCUUGUCCAUUAGAUCUUAUGGAAGGUUACAGAGCAACAGAACUGAUGUCUGAGGAUUCACAAUUAAUGACACAAUGCAAGGCCAUAGCUGACAUGAAGUUUACAUAUGUUGUCUCAUGCCAGCAAUAUGGAAUCCAGAAACGGUCUGGCGAACCUUGUGCACAUGACAUUUUGAGGCUAAUGACAACGUGAGUUUCAUUGAAAAAUUCUGGAUAAAUGCUAUUUAUUAUGUUUGCUUCAUUUUCAAAUUAGAUGCUCAUAUAUGAAAAGAAACCUUGUGCUCUUUAGUUUGAUAGGGAGUUUGUUUUGGUCUUCUUGUGUUACUUUUCCUUUUACAUAAUCAACAUACCCUGUAACUUUUUGUUUUAUAAUUCGCUAUAAUGAAACAAUUUGCUGCCUAAGUACAUCAUAUGUUGUAUGAUGGCACUGAAAUAACAGAAUGGGCAUUUUUGACAGAUAUCCAUCGCUGCGGGUUGCCUAUAUUGAUGAAGUUGAAGCGCGUAGUCAAGAUAGGAACAAGAAAGUUGAAAAGGUUUACUACUCAGCAUUGGUGAAGGCUUCUGUUACAAAAGCUAAUGAGCCUGGUCAGAGUCUUGAUCAGGUAAUGAAAAAAUGUUUUGUUAAUUCAGUAUUCCUUGGGUGAAAUUUGCUCAGGGUUUAUCUUGCUUGAUGCUUGGUCUAUUCUGGUGAUAUAUGCGCCCUCCUUGUCCCAAAGUCAUGUAACCCUGAAGAACUUUGGUGAUGUAUAAUUAUUUAUUUGAAAUGCUUGUUGUAAUUGUGAGUGCAGGUGUUAGAAAUGUUCUAUGUGCAAUCUAGAAAACUUCAACACUUUUAGAUGAAAUGUCCAAUUUAAAUUGACCUUUUCCUUCUUUGGAAGUAAUGGCUUCUCACAGCCGUUGUGGUAAAAAAUGCAUUGCACUUACUUGGCAUCUAUAUUUACACUGCAGGUAAUCUACAAGAUAAAACUGCCAGGUAAUGCUAUUCUAGGUGAAGGAAAGCCAGAAAAUCAGAACCACGCAAUCAUAUUCACUCGAGGCGAGUGUCUCCAAACUAUAGAUAUGAAUCAGGUACAGCUCUGUCCACUUUGAGGUUUCAGGAAAAUAUUUUUGCACAUUUUCUUCAUUUGCUUAUGUCUAUUUGUCAUGGCAGGAACACUAUAUGGAGGAGGCUUUGAAGAUGAGGAAUCUUUUGCAAGAGUUUGAGGAGAAACAUGAUGGUGUGAGAUACCCAUCAAUACUUGGUGUAAGAGAACACAUAUUUACUGGCAGGUAAUGUUCCAUGUUCUACUUUUGUGAAUUAUGAAUUUAUGACUAAAUUAUGCACCUACGUGGCUAUGCCACCACCUUGGACUAUUUUGAGCUAUAUCUUGUAUAUUUCUGUUUCUGUACCGCGGUUAAUUUUUUGCUUAAUUUGUGCAGUGUUUCAUCCCUUGCGUGGUUCAUGUCAAAUCAGGAGACUAGUUUUGUGACCAUUGGACAACGUGUACUUGCCAAUCCACUGAGGUAUUCAUCUGAGAUCAAUUGUACAUUCACUGUUUGACAUUAUGCAGUCUAUUGAUUCAAAUUUUGUUAGUCUCUGAGUUGUAUGAACCAUCUGCUCGGUAUAUUUGUUCUUCCCAAGGUUACUAGUAAUGGACAGCAACUUGACUCUAAAUUCUAAAAGAGUAUUUUUGUAGUUCUUGGCAUUGACAUUCUUUUCCUUAACAUCUCUUUGCCCAGGGUUCGAUUUCACUAUGGCCAUCCCGAUAUCUUCGAUCGCCUUUUCCACCUUACAAGGGGUGGUGUGAGUAAAGCAUCCAAAAUUAUCAAUCUUAGUGAGGAUAUAUUUGCAGGUACUAAACUUUUGCCAUUGCCGCUUGACUUAGUAAAUCUUGAACUGCUCUGGUUAUACUGUGGUCUCUUAUGUUCCUUUAUGAUGCAGGAUUCAAUUCCACACUGCGUGAAGGCAAUGUUACUCAUCAUGAAUACAUGCAAGUUGGCAAGGGAAGGGAUGUGGGUCUUAAUCAAAUAUCUCUAUUCGAGGCAAAGAUAGCAAAUGGUAAUGGCGAACAGACACUGAGCCGUGACAUCUAUCGGCUGGGUCACCGCUUUGAUUUCUUCAGAAUGCUAUCCUGUUACUAUACAACAAUUGGUUUCUACUUCAGUACCAUGGUAUUUUUCUGGCCUGAACUUAUCACUUUCAUAGCCAUUCAUUGGUUAACCCUUAACCUUUCUGGUAUUUCUGUUUGGACUUAGAUUACGGUGUGGACCGUGUAUGUUUUCCUCUAUGGGCGGUUAUAUCUUGUCCUCAGUGGACUUGAUGAAGCACUGGCUACUGGAAGGAAGUUUGUGCACAAUGCGCCUCUCCAGGUUGCUCUUGCAUCAGAAUCUUUUGUGCAACUUGGAUUUUUGAUGGCGCUACCCAUGAUGAUGGAAAUCGGUCUGGAGAGAGGAUUCAGAACGGCAUUGAGUGACUUUGUACUAAUGCAACUCCAGUUGGCAUCUGUUUUCUUCACAUUUUCACUUGGGACCAAAACUCAUUACUAUGGAAGGACGUUACUCCAUGGAGGAGCUGAAUAUAGAGCCACUGGACGUGGAUUUGUGGUGUUCCACGCCAAAUUUGCUGACAACUAUCGGCUUUAUUCCCGAAGCCAUUUUGUUAAGGGUAUCGAGCUGAUGAUCUUGCUAGUUGUGUAUGAAAUAUUUGGGCAGUCAUAUAGAGGGGCUAUAACAUACAUCUUCAUCACCAUCUCCAUGUGGUUCAUGGUGGGCACUUGGCUCUUCGCACCAUUCUUGUUCAAUCCUUCCGGAUUUGAGUGGCAGAAGAUUGUGGAUGACUGGACUGAUUGGCACAAGUGGAUCAGCAAUCGUGGAGGUAUUGGUGUAGCGCCAGAGAAAAGCUGGGAGUCAUGGUGGGACAAAGAGCAGGAGCCUCUCCGGCACUCUGGGAAGCGUGGUACUAUUGUUGAGAUACUGCUUGCAUUGCGUUUCUUCAUCUACCAAUAUGGACUCGUGUAUCAUUUGAAUAUAACAAAGAAGAUAACCAAGGAUACCCACAGUGUGUUGGUAAUUUACUUAUCUCAUUUGGCAAAUGGAAGGUGGUUUCAUCUGUUUAUGCUGACAUGGUGUUUCUAACUGAUUAACUUUUGCAGGUCUAUUGUUUCUCAUGGGUUGUAAUUUUUGUCAUCUUGCUCGUUAUGAAGGUAAUAUUACAUUUUAUUAAUGCUUCUUCCGUUAACUGUGGUACUCAUGAGUACUCAUUGGUUUGGUUGUGAUAAUACAUAGUAUGCAGUGAGAUUCCCUUUGUUUUAUAUAAUUUAGCAAUUUAGUUGUCUAUAGAAUUAACUUGCUUAGCUCUUGAAAUGCUAGAAUCGUAAUAAAAUGCUGUCUUUCUUUAAAAACUGUCUCUGAUCCUAGCUGGUUUGGCUAGCUGGAGCACUCAGUUAUUGUGUUUUCUUUUCCAGACUGUUUCAGUGGGCAGGAGAAGAUUCAGUGCGGAGUUCCAGCUUGUGUUCCGGUUGAUCAAGGGUCUCAUAUUUAUAACAUUUACGUCCAUUGUGAUAAUCUUGAUAGCAAUCCCUGGCAUGACGGUUCUGGACAUCUUUGUCUGCAUCCUUGCGUUCAUGCCAACCGGAUGGGGUUUGCUCCUGGUUAGUGCCUGAACAUGUUCUCUCUUUCCGCUAUCCCUUUAAUUUCCAUUCCUGAUUAAUUUAUCUGUUUGCUCUUGGGUUGCCUUAUUUUGCAGAUUGCCCAAGCGAUCAGGCCUGUGAUUCAAAAGAUCGGGCUCUGGGGAUCGAUCAAGGCUCUUGCGCGGGGCUACGAGAUCCUGAUGGGGCUCCUCCUGUUCACACCCAUCGCCUUCCUUGCUUGGUUCCCAUUCGUGUCCGAAUUCCAGACCAGGAUGCUGUUCAACCAGGCCUUCAGCAGAGGUCUGCAGAUCUCCCGUAUCCUUGGAGGGCACAAGAAAGACCGAGCGACCCGGAACAAGGAGUAGAGAUGCAAGGUUAACCUUAUGCCGACGGUGGAAGUUAUUCCUUCCUUUCACCCACACUUGCACCUAGUAGUAUUAUUAUGUAUAGCUGCAUGCUGCUAAGCAAUGUGCCUGUGUAGUCCCCGUCCGUCUUCUGGAUUGGGCAUCUGAGAUUUCGAUGUGACGAUGGCAGAUGUUGAUGGUCUAGGGUUCAUGAAUUGUGCAAUUUUGUGCUCGGUGCACCAUAUUCUCAGCUGCAGCGUGCGCUGUCUCUAGUAUCUGGGAAGGAAGGAGGUUCGAAGAGAGAUUGGUUGUCGGUUGCUUGGAUGGGUCAUGGCGGCCAAGAAGCUGCAGAAGGUCGUACAGUACGAAAAGACCAUGACAUGAUGACGACGAAACAAAGGCACAAGUUUUGACCUGCAGCUAAUUACUGGUGGAUUUCGAGGGCAAGUCGAUGCUUCACUGCAUCCUAACCUGGCAAACCUGCAUGGAGAAUGCGGUGGAAGCAUCUGGAAACGAGUAGUCCUACAGCUACAGCUACAGCUGUAGCUUAGCAUGCACCACACUCUGCAGCAAGGUCAAACAAAAGGAAAUUAUUUUAGUGAUACGGAAGAUGACGAAGGGGAUGGAAUUUCACGACGCACCCCUACUAGAACUAGAACGAGAACUAGAAUUAUAAAUAGUUUCCUUUUGUUUGACAUGUGGCUCUGCAGGCAAUUAGUCAGAUCCAGGAGUGAGUGUACCACUUUUGUGGUGGAGGUGCGUUGUGAGAUCUGCACAGCAUAUACGCGUGCAGCCAAAUAUGUGCGUGUAUUCCCUUUUCCAAAAAGAAAAAAGAAACACACUUGUCUACUGUAGUAGUAUUUAGGGCCUGUUUAGAUCCAAGGGCAAAUGGCAAAAGAGCAAAUGGUAAAAUUUUUACUCCCGUCACAUCAGAUGUUUGGAUGCUAAUUAGAAGUAUUAAAUAUAGUUUAAUUAAAAAAGAUGAGGACUAAAUGACGAGACGAAUCUAUUAAGCCUAAUUAAUCUAUAAUUAGUAAAAUUACGGUAGCAUUUGCCCUUUUGCACUUUGGGGUGUUUGGAUCCAAAAGUGCAAAAAAAUACAAAAGAGCAAAAGUUUUUCACUUUCUCUUCCUCUUUCCCUUGGAUCCAAACAGGCACUUAACUGUACUAUCAGCUGCUAGCUCAAUAGCAAAUCAUUCAUCGAAUGGACACAGGAUUUCCAGUUAUUUGGGACACGCGUGAAAAGAGCGUGGAUUUUCUUCAGAUCCGUAUCAUGUGGACAUGGGAGCAGCAGCGGGCCCCACGACAUGGAUAUUUCAAUAUUUUAUGGACACCAGCUGCAUCAUCAUGUGGUCAUAAUAUGGCCAUUAACAGUGCAAUUACUCUUUUCCUAGUCACGCAUGCUAUCCUAUCCUUGUCCACAACUUUGUAUGGCCCACCGCGCACCAUUAAAACCUACUAACCAACUCCUAUUAUAAUACACGGCGUAUUUUCUUGUGCGCUGCGUUUUGCUACCUGUCAAGAUUGUGCCCGCUAGUAAUUUGCAUCGUUGGCAAAAUCUUUUUUCAUAUAUAUAGCAGAGGUGGAGGUGUAGCUGAAAGCAAUGGGAUAGAAUUGUCCCCCCCCCCCCACAUAGAUUUGUGGAUAUAAUAGAUAUUAUUAUUAUUAUAAAAUUUAUAGAAAAGCCUAGUGAUACUUUAAAUGUCAAAGAAUAAUUAAAUCUAUUAUAAAAUAUUUAUUUUAUAUGUUCAAACUUAGAAUGUUUUAACUUAGUACAAAUUAAUUUUAGUCUAGUGGAAGAGAGGGAGGCUUGAAUGAUUAGUCUAGUGAUUCGAUAGUAUAGGUUUUUAGCUAAGUAUGGGUUAGCUUAAAUUAAAGCAACUGACUGGGCAGGCUUGCUAAAACUUGUGGCCAGGAACGCUUUGGGCCCCGCUGCCUGCCGCGAGAUAUUUCUGGACCUCCCGCGAUUGGUUGGGUGAGAGGGUGGACACGUGUCGAGGUGGCGUGACGUGGCCGGGAAAAAGCGCAGCCGGAAAAAGUGGAUGGCUAGUCGUGGCCACGACGCUUGCAUUUGCUUUGAUCACAUGUACGUCUAGCUGCAUAGCAAAAUCUAUAAAUUUUAAAAUUAACUAACCGCAGCUGCUGAAACGAAACAACACAACUGGCCGAUAUGAUAUGAUUUAUAGGUAGAAAAUCAAAUUUCCUGUGGCCAAAACAGAGGCGAGAGUACCUACCACACCUCCGUCACCUCACCUGGCGUGGCUGCUGGACAAAGGGAGAGAGGGAAAGGCCACUCACACCUUUUUUUUCUUUUUCCCACUGUAUGCAUGCUCAUGCUAGUAGGUUUAUCCAAAUGAAAAAAUAUCAGCCUCUCCUGUGUUGAGCGGUUGCAGAUAUUUGCAGGCCGCUAGGCCUUUUUUCUCACCUCCUCCUUUCAUUCUUUCCUACGGAUUUCCACAUGGGACACUCAUCUACCUGCCAAUUCUUAACAUUUUUAUUUUUAUUGCAGAGGAAUUUGAAAUGACACACUGUUAGCCAUGGAGGCAGUCGUUUAGCAUAAAUUAAUUAGUUAAAAGUAUUUAUAUAUGUAUUCCUACCUGAGAAAGUAUUUAUUUAGUGGUACCAAAAAUACGUGUACUAGAUAAAGAAGAUUAGCACCGGAAAUGGCAAGGGGACCAUCCCUCCGAAAGGCAAAAAAUAAAAAUCCAGGUAGCGAGGCGUUCCUCUGCACGUGGGCCCCUUCUCCCGGGGGCUCCCCAGCCACUAGAUCCCUGGCCCUUCUGGAAAUUUCCAGCCCUGACAAGAAGGCCCCACGUCCAACGUGGCCCGCCCCCCUCCCCUUGCUUGCCCCCAAAAAUCUCUCGCCGCUCCUUCUCGCUCCUUCCUCUCGCCAUUUGCAUUCGCGGACGCCUCCGCCAAUUCCUCUCCGCCGCUUCUUCCUCCCAUCCCAGCAUCCCUCCGGCGUGUUCUCCCCGCGCCCGAUAUUUCCAUUUCUUCCCCUUUUCCUGUUGAGUUCUUGGGGAACGCCGAGAAGAGAAGAUACUUUUUUCCCCCGUCUCCUGGGCGAUCCCGGUCACGGAAGCGGCAGAUUUCCACUGCUUCGACCUCUGCUUUCUGUCGUCGCCGCCGCCGGUGCCGGCUGCUUCUGUCCUGGGCGCUCCGAGCGCACCAGGCCGCCAAGGGGAACCGGAGAUUUCAGCUCUGGGCCCGGCUCAUGGCGUCGAUGGUGCAGGUCGAGGUAAAGGUCUCUUUUUUUACCCCACUAGAUUCUUGCCUGUCCGUGCUGAAGACUUCGCCCUUGUGUAGAUUUUCUUUUUGAUGAGUUGGGUGAAGAAGCCUUGCCCAUUGAGUUUCAGAUUUCUUUUGUAAACGUUGAAAUUGUUUUUUAAUAGGAAUAUUUUAUCCUAUUCUUAGAAAAUGUGCCGUUUCUAGACGCUUCUUCGUUGGGUUUCAGUUGCACGCAAAUCGUGGUAUCCGUAUGGAGAGUUCUAGAACGAGGUGGGCAAUACUAGCUAGCAUGCAUAAAUAAAGAUAUCUGGACUUCUGGUAGUUUGCUGUACUCAUUCACAGUUCUUUUUACUACGGUAACUACUUCAUCAUUUAAUCUUAAAUCAUUAAAAGCCAAUAAGCAAAGUUUAGCUUAAGCUGUUCCCACCCAGCAAUAACCCAAUAAGAGAUUAGAGAUACUCCUACUGUGUAAGCUCAAAUCUGGAUAUUUUGAAUGGUAAAGUUUAGCAUGAUUUCAACUUAAUAGGUAGAACAAGAAAGUAACUUGAUCUUCUGAAACUGUAUCCAGCGAUAGCCAAUCCCAACACGUUUUAGCUGAAGCACUAAUCUUCGUUUCCUGUUGUUGCCUCCAGGAAAGGGAUGGAUUAGACUCAUCUGGGUUGCCAAUUGACAAAAAGCGGCUGUUGGAUGCUGCUGCCAAAUCUCCUCUGAUCGAUGAUGCAAUGCAACCCAAGGAGGGGAUGGAUGGGUACCCUGUCAAGGUACCCAUUUCUUGUCCCACUUUUGAGAUCCGUAUGCAAAUGCCAGCUGGUUCUUUUCAGUGUGUAUUUGUUUACUAUCCUACAGCACCGUCACCAUGCCUAAUGAUAAUAAACCGAUUCAAAUAGGUUCGGAAGCCUUACACCAUCACAAAGCAGAGGGAGAAGUGGACGGAAGAAGAGCAUGAGAAGUUCCUGGAGGCACUGAAGCUUUAUGGUCGGUCUUGGCGCCAGAUACAAGGUGCGUGCAGAGACUGCAUAUGUGACCUUAAGCUAGAGAGCAUUGGCAAUUGGUUUUCUGAUUUCUCCAAACUGUUGUUUAGAACACAUUGGCACAAAGACUGCUGUCCAGAUUCGGAGCCAUGCUCAGAAGUUUUUCUCCAAGGUGCUUAACCCUCCUGAUAGUUGUGACCAAUUUAGCUGCUAUAUAUAUACUACAAUGAAAGUACAUCAUAUGUGGGUGUACAAUGAGAUUUGCUAGCAGCUAACUCUCACCAAUUGAUUUUACUCUCCUAUUUCUCAUGUGAGUUGCUUACUGUGCAGGUGGUGCGCGAACCUGGUGCAAGUAAUGUAAUCAAGAUCCCACCACCAAGGCCAAAGAGAAAACCACUGCAUCCAUACCCUCGCAAGUGUGCUGAUUCCAGCACCAUGGCAAAUCCUGCAAUGGGGCAACCAAAGCUUGCCCCUAUUUCAUCGUCAUCUGGUUCUGACCAAGAGAAUGGUUCACCUGUGUCUGUGCUGUCUGCGAUGCCGUCGGAUGCUUUUGGAUCAUCUGUAUCCAAUCCGUCAACAGGGUGUACAUCCCCUGCGUCAUCGGAUGAUGGGAAUAAUGUCCCUGCGUUGGUGAAUGAGGAAAAUUUACUUACUCAACAAAUCGAGGAUGAUCAGUCCGGUCAGGUAAGAAAAACAUCCAUUGUACGGCUUGUCUUUUCAAAUGGGUGGGUUGGUGAAUGAGUAUGUAUGCUUAUCAGGUCGGACAUGUUUCAAUUUCAGGAAAUAAAGCUGGACAACAGCGAUGGUGACUUAUCUGAAGAGGAUUCAUCAUCAGGAGUGCAAGAAACAAGUUUGAAGCUGUUUGGGAAGACAGUUUUCAUCCCAGACCCAAAGAAAGUUUGUUCCUCAGAUGGGGGACGUAGAGAUGGUGAAAAAAGAUCUGAAUCUUCUAAGCAAGAAGAAGUGUCGCAAGCAUCCUCGAUUGGAGGCGUCGCAGCAUACCCUGCCCAUAAUGGAUGGCUUCUUCCUUACCAUUCUUUCCAGUUUCAUAUGGGUGAGUCUGGGGAUGCUAGGAUUUCCCCUCUUCAUGUAUGGUGGCCUUACUAUGGUUUUCCGGUCGGCCAUCCAAGAGGAUUUGGUAUGGGGCUGCAUACUGAAGGUACCUGUGAGAGUGAUACCGGCAAGAGCCCUUCAGUUGAAUCCAGUUCAGACUGCAUGAGCGAUGUUCAGACCACGGCCCCUACCAACUGCAAAGUUGUCAAGGAGCCACUUGGGGCAAUUCAGGUGCCAGAGCCAACUCUAAGUUUUGAGCUGAAACCGAGCGCGAAUUCUGCGUUCGUAAGAGUGAAGCCAGGCAGCAACAGAGGUCAAUCUGUAAGGGGAUUUGUGCCAUAUAAAAGAUGUAAAGUCGAAUAACCCAACCAGAUAUUUCUCUGCAGCUAAUUUAACUGAGAUUAAUUCUGAACAGUAGAGAGCAGUUGGGCACGUGCUUGUUCCAGCGUGCGCACCAUUUUUUACUUGCAGAGAGGCAGAGAUUGGCCGUGUAUGUGUAUCAUUGUUUCCUGCUUGCAGCUCAAUGUAAGAUUGCUGCAAGCAGUUGGUGUUACUUAAAGGUAGAUUGAGGAAGGGUUUUGCAGGGAUGCCGAUCUCUAGCCUGUUAUGUUGUUGUAUAAGGAAACCAGAUUUUGUUUGUUGAACUCUUGUUCAAAGUUAAUUGCUAAUGGAAGCUGAUUUAUGAAUGGACAUUGCAAUGCUGUGCUUGGACAGAUUACGCACAGUGUGUGCUGUAAUGUAAUAAGAUUAUUUUCCUGUUGAACGGUGCAGGCUUGUUCUGGUAGCGUAGAGCAAACAUUGGUGGCG